AACACAUUGAAAGGAGGUGAUCCAGUGUCUAGAGUGAUAUUGGAGAGAGGUGUCGGGACAGUCGGGGGGCACGAUAUCUAGGGGCAACCCCUUGGAAUCCAACCACUGAUUGGGCUUGAAACCUAACUGGCCCAUCUCCUUGGAACUCGGAAAGGGUCGCCGCACACCGGCGACCCUU
rnacentral:misc_RNA from 1 species